CCUACGGGAGGCAGCAGUAAGGAAUAUUGGUCAAUGGACGGAAGUCUGAACCAGCCAUGCCGCGUGCAGGAAGACGGCCCUACGGGUUGUAAACUGCUUUUGCAGGGGAAUAAACUUCAGUAUGUAUACUGAGCUGAAUGUACUCUGAGAAUAAGGAUCGGCUAACUCCGUGCCAGCAGCCGCGGUAAU
rnacentral:rRNA from 1 species